GCCCGUUUAGCUCAGUGGUAGAGCGCGCCACUCGUAAGGUUCUUACAGUCACGUGAUCGUGGGCAUGGUGAGGUCGGUUGUUCAAUCCAGCCAAUGGGCA